rnacentral:misc_RNA from 1 species
AACUUUUAACAAUGGAUCACUUGGCUCUCGCAUCGAUGAAGAACGCAGCGAAAUGCGACAAGUAAUGUGAAUUGCAGAAUUCAGUGAAUCAUCGAAUCUUUGAACGCACCUUGCGCCCCUUGGUUAUUCCUUGGGGCAUGCCUGUUUGAGUAUCAUGAACACCUCAACUCUCACGGUCUUCCGUGACGAGCUUGGACUUUGGGGGUUUGCUGGCCCUGCGGCCGGCUCCUCUCAAACAAAUCAGCUUGCCAGUGUUUGGCGGCAUCUCACGGGUGUGAUAACUAUCUACGCUCGCGGUUGUCUGCCAGGUAACCCUCAGCAAUGAAGGUUCAUUGGUGCUCAUAAACGUCUCUCCUCGGCGAGGACAGCUUUUGAACGUUCGAUCUCAAAUCAGGUAGGACUACCCGCUGAACUUAAGCAUAUCAAUAAGCGGAGGCU